UACGAAGGGGGCAAGCGUUGUUCGGAAUUACUGGGCGUAAAGAGCGCGCAGGCGGUCGUUCAAGUCGAGUGUGAAAGCCCCCGGCUCAACUGGGGAGGGUCACUCGAUACUGAUCGACUCGAAGGCAGGAGAGGGAAGCGGAAUUCCCGGUGUAGUGGUGAAAUGCGUAGAUAUCGGGAGGAACACCAGUGGCGAAGGCGGCUUUCUGGCCUGCUCUUGACGCUGAGGCGCGAAAGCUAGGGUAGCAAACGGG
rnacentral:rRNA from 1 species